rnacentral:rRNA from 1 species
UACGAGGGGGGCGAGCGUUGUUCGGAAUUAUUGGGCGUAAAGGGUGCGUAGGCGGCCUGACAAGUCUGAUGUGAAAUCCCUGGGCUCAACCCAGGGCCUGCAUCGGAAACUGUCGGGCUUGAGUAUGGGAGAGGUGAGUGGAAUUUCCGGUGUAGCGGUGAAAUGCGUAGAUAUCGGAAGGAACACCUGUGGCGAAAGCGGGUUGCUGGGCUGACACUGACGCUGAUGCGCGAAAGCUAGGGGAGCGAACGGG